AGCUGGCUAGGCGGCCGCGGCACAUUGUGUCGAGGAACGUCCGGGCUCCACAGAGAACGGUGGUGGGUAACACCCACCCGGGGUGACCCGCGGGCUAGUGCAACAGAAAGUAAACCGCCGCAAGGUAAGGGUGAAAGGGUGAGGUAAGAGCUCACCGCGGACUGGGUGACCAGGACGGCACGGUAAACCCCACCGGGAGCAAGACCAGGCAGUCGGCUUAAUGCUUCUCGUACACGGGCUACGGCUCGGGCCGACGGGUGGGUUGCUAGAGGCACGUGGCAACACGUGUCCCAGAUGGAUGGUCGCCCUAGACAAAACCCGGCGUAUCGGCCAGCUUGU
rnacentral:RNase_P_RNA from 1 species